GACCAUAACUUUUUCGAUACACACCUCUCUAUGGUCGCGGCUG
rnacentral:ncRNA from 1 species